UUUAGUGCAUUUUGGAUAUUUAUAAGCGUGGUGUAACUUAAGUGUCUAAAUUCACAUUUGGGGGGGCACUGUAACUUUCCAACAUUAUGAUAUUAAAUAAACACACUGGUGAUUGUUCAUCUCCAUUUCCCUCUCAUUCUAAAAGCGGACAGGACAUGUCGGAAGAAAAUAAAUAGUUUUCACAUGACCACUUACACUGGCUUCAUGUUUACAGACCCCCUUCGCCACUUUAGAUUGCCUCCCGGGAGAACAGACUCUCCUCCCGCUAUUUUGGGCAGUGCCUGCUAAAAGCGGCGGCGUUCCUGGAAGUGAUGACGGAUGGAAGCUUUCGCGGCGGUUCGCGGCGCCACCUUGCGUUCACCGCCUGAACUGCUGAAGGAGCGCCGUACAGCAGCUGCAAGCUAAAGAGCCUGAGGAGCAUUGUGUCAGCAGUGAACAUCUCUGGUCACGUCCAAAUUACAGAAGAGAGACAAAACAAUUGAGCAUUCAGAUGAAGAGAAGGUCAAGAAAUCCUAGACACGGCUCAGACAGGUGUGAAGUAACCCUAGAUUGAGAAUAACCUGAAAAGUAUACAAAAAACAGGGCAGUAAAAAAAAGAAAAGAAAAAGAGAAUGCAGUAAGAUAUAAAGAAAUGACUUUUACAGCAGGAGGGAAAGUUCAAAGCGCACGUGACGGAUGUGAUUCAUUAUAAGAUGUCAAAGAGAGUACAGGUGCAAGAGAUUCUGUCAGACCGCAGAAGUGCUUAUUUUAGGAGGUACUAAAAAUGAUGUUCUAUUCAAAAAACCUUAUAUUAAACACAUUCAAGGCAUUGGUGAUGCACUUCAAGCUUGAAAGCAAAUGUCCAGCAUUGGCUUUCAGUUAAAAAAGAAAAAAAAACAGAAAGAAGAAAGCUUUUAUAACAAGAUGUCAGUGAUGUUAACUUCUCAUUGCAAUCUUUCUGGUAAAAAAUUAUACUGUGAUCUAAAAUCUCCAGAUUUUAGGUCCAGAUUUCCUGCGCUUGUUUGAAGGGCUGUACAAUUUGGCCAAAAGUGUUAUAAUUACAUCAAUAUGACAAUAAAAUAUUAAUUGUACUGUUUUUUUUU